AACGAACGCUGGCGGCAUGCCUAACACAUGCAAGUCGAACGAGAUCUUCGGGUCUAGUGGCGCACGGGUGCGUAACGCGUGGGAAUCUGCCCUUUGGUUCGGAAUAACAGUUGGAAACGACUGCUAAUACCGGAUGAUGACGAAAGUCCAAAGAUUUAUCGCCAGAGGAUGAGCCCGCGUAGGAUUAGCUAGUUGGUGUGGUAAAGGCGCACCAAGGCGACGAUCCUUAGCUGGUCUGAGAGGAUGAUCAGCCACACUGGGACUGAGACACGGCCCAGACUCCUACGGGAGGCAGCAGUGGGGAAUAUUGGACAAUGGGCGAAAGCCUGAUCCAGCAAUGCCGCGUGAGUGAUGAAGGCUUUAGGGUUGUAAAGCCCUUUUACCCGGGAUGAUAAUGACAGUACCGGGGGAAUAAGCUCCGGCUAACUCCGUGCCAGCCGCCGCCGUAA
rnacentral:rRNA from 1 species